AAACAUGGCUCCUUGAAUCUUAAUAAUAAGGAGUCGGACCUGCCCAGUGAAUUUUUAACGGCCGCGGUACUCUGACCGUGCAAAGGUAGCAUAAUCAUUUGCCUUAUAAUUGAAGGCUAGUAUGAAUGGUUUGACAAGAAUGAAGCUGUCUCUUUAUAAUUUAAUAGAAUUUUAUUUUUAGGUGAAGAAGCCUAAAUAAAAUUAAAAGACAAGAAGACCCUAUCGAGCUUUAAAAAAGUUAGUAGAACUAAUUAAUUGAUAUUUAUAAAAAAUUAUCUAUUAGAUAUUUUAGUUGGGGCGACUGAGGAACAUAAAAAGCUUCCUUUAAAUAAAUCAAUAAAAUCAAACUAGAAUUGAUCCAAAAUAUUUUGAUUAAAGAAAUUAGUUACCGUAGGGAUAACAGCAUUAUCUUUUUUAAGAGCUCAUAUCGAAAAAAAGGUUUGUGACCUCGAUGUUGGACCAGAAUAUCCUAAAGGUGCAGCAGUCUUUAAGGGUUGGUCUGUUCGACCAUUAAAAUUCUACGUGA
rnacentral:rRNA from 1 species